AUUGAACGCUGGCGGCAGGCCUAACACAUGCAAGUCGAACGGUAACAGGAAGCAGCUUGCUGCUUUGCUGACGAGUGGCGGACGGGUGAGUAAUGUCUGGGAAACUGCCUGAUGGAGGGGGAUAACUACUGGAAACGGUAUCUAAUACCGCAUAACGUCGCAAGACCAAAGAGGGGGACCUUAGGGCCUCUUGCCAUCGGAUGUGCCCAGAUGGGAUUAGCUAGUAGGUGGGGUAACGGCUCACCUAGGCGACGAUCCCUAGCUGGUCUGAGAGGAUGACCAGCCACACUGGAACUGAGACACGGUCCAGACUCCUACGGGAGGCAGCAGUGGGGAAUAUUGCACAAUGGGCGCAAGCCUGAUGCAGCCAUGCCGCGUGUAUGAAGAAGGCCUUCGGGUUGUAAAGUACUUUCAGCGGGGAGGAAGGGAGUAAAGUUAAUACCUUUGCUCAUUGACGUUACCCGCAGAAGAAGCACCGGCUAACUCCGUG
rnacentral:rRNA from 1 species